UGUGCCAGGCACCACGAUAGGCUCUGGGAUUACCACACCAAGCAAACGCCGACUCAGACCUUGGCUCGUGGAGCUUCCAGUCCAGGGGGCUCACGAGUGAGAGCAUCAUCAUCGCAGGCUGUGCGGUAGGUAUCCUUAGGACGAGUCGGCCAUCAGGGACGGCAUAAUUGGCUGCAUUUUCCCUGUACUACAGCAGGGAAGCAUACAUUUCCUGGAGAACUUUCUACUAAAAGCGUUAAAGUCGUUUUUAAAUCUCACUUUCCCCGAAAAGCCCACUACUCCAAACAUCUCUGCUCCCAGCCUGCCCCCACCUGGUCCCUCCCCUGGAGCCCCAAGGCUCAGGCAGCGCUGGGUCCGCCCACCUCCCUGCCUCCCUCUGAUUGGCUAAUUUUCCCUUCUCUGCCUAACGCUGCUUUCGCCUGUUGGGUUUGUUGGGCUCCCAGCCCUCCUGCCUCAGUGACAAAAAAAGACCAAAGUGCCCUGGAAAGAUGAACCAUCCUAUGGAGAACAGCAGUCCUGGAGAAUGACUAUGUCCGCCGUGGACUUUUUGCAUGAAAAAAGAAAUGCAGCCUUCCUGGGACCACCAUGCUGUGAGAAUGUCAGGCUGCAUGACAGGCCCUGGAGGAUACGACACUACCUGGGAAGAAAGAGACCAAGGAAUGUUAAAUGUGCCGGACAUUUGAGUACAAAGUCCUUUGGGUAGUGGGUCCUCCGUCUAGAACAGAGAUAAACCAUUCAGCCAAGCCCUCCACACAUUCCUCACCUGCAAAAUCAUGAGCAAAAUAAAUGGUGGUUUGAAACCAUUCAGUAUUGGGGCAUUUUGUUUCCUAGCUACAGAUCAUCAGAACGCUGAAUAACAAAUAUUUUACAGUGACCAA